rnacentral:rRNA from 1 species
UACGUAGGUGGCAAGCGUUGUCCGGAUUUAUUGGGCGUAAAGGGCGCGCAGGCGGUUCGUUAAGUUCGAGGUGAAAUCUCCCGGCUCAACUGGGAGGGGUCUUCGGAUACUGGCGGACUUGAGGAGUGCAGAGGUGAGUGGAAUUCUCGGUGUAGUGGUGAAAUGCGUAGAUAUCGAGAGGAACACCAGUGGCGAAGGCGGCUCACUGGGCACCACCUGACGCUGAGGCGCGAAAGCGUGGGGAGCAAACAGG